AAAAGAAUAAGAUCUUCAGACUUAGUGAAGAGUGCAAGGUGUGUUGGGGAGUCAAAGUAUGACUUUUCCAAAAUAAUUAAACUAAAAGGUGCCACUGGCAGGGAUGUUUCGAAGAAAGGGAGACCUGAAGGCAUUACAUCCACAGCUUCACAUGUACAAGAAACCUCUAGCACAAGCAUGAUUGUUGCUAAUGAGGAUGCAGACCAAGAAGAUAUUGUAACUUUUGGUUCAUUUGACCUAUAGUGCCAACUGGAUCCUGAAAAUGUCUCUGUUCUUUCAGCAGAUGAUGUAUAUCUUAAUUUGUUGAAGGAAAAUUGUGGUAUUUUUUGUUCUGACAAUGGGUAUAGAACAUUUGUAUUGAAAGAAUUUGACAGUAAAAGAUUACAACUAAAAGCUACACAGUUUUUAUUUGUUUCAAGAAGAGCUAUGUCAUUUGAGGGCGAUUUCCAUUGGAUUUACACAUGUUCAUGUGAUGUAGCUGGAACUGAACUAAUUGAGUGCUGUGGUCAGCAGAUGGAGGUUACCUUUGCAGGUUUGCAAAAUUUUAGGCUAAAGAAAAAAUUUACAGUAUGAUCUGUUGAAUGACAAAAUUUAUAGAUUCUCUAAUCUUUGGCCUAAUAUUUCAUGUAAAAUCAUUGGAACAUUAUUAAGUAGUUAUCUGCUUAAAGGGGUGGAAGGACUUCCAUGUAUUUCUGGACUUUGGGAUUGGACCUUCAUAAUACCCCCAAAAAAACAGUUUUGGGGGGUAUAUAGGAAUCACCCGUCCAUCCAUCCUCCAGUCUGUCUGUCCAUAUGUCUCGUAAGCGC